GCCGAAGGGAAACCGAGUCUUAACCGGGCGUUAAGUUGCAGGGUAUAGACCCGAAACCCGGUGAUCUAGCCAUGGGCAGGUUGAAGGUUGGGUAACACUAACUGGAGGACCGAACCGACUAAUGUUGAAAAAUUAGCGGAUGACCUGUGGCUGGGGGUGAAAGGCCAAUCAAACCGGGAGAUAGCUGGUUCUCCCCGAAAGCUAUUUAGGUAGCGCCUCGUGAAUUCAUCUCCGGGGGUAGAGCACUGUUUCGGCUAGGGGGCCAUCCCGGCUUACCAACCCGAUGCAAACUGCGAAUACCGGAGAAUGUUAUCACGGGAGACACACGGCGGGUGCUAACGUCCGUCGUGAAGAGGGAAACAACCCAGACCGCCAGCUAAGGUCCCAAAGUCAUGGUUAAGUGGGAAACGAUGUGGGAAGGCCCAGACAGCCAGGAUGUUGGCUUAGAAGCAGCCAUCAUUUAAAGAAAGCGUAAUAGCUCACUGGUCGAGUCGGCCUGCGCGGAAGAUGUAACGGGGCUAAACCAUGCACCGAAGCUGCGGCAGCGACGCUGAUGCGUUGUUGGGUAGGGGAGCGUUCUGUAAGCCUGCGAAGGUGGCCUGUGAGGGUUGCUGGAGGUAUCAGAAGUGCGAAUGCUGACAUAAGUAACGAUAAAGCGGGUGAAAAGCCCGCUCGCCGGAAGACCAAGGGUUCCUGUCCAACGUUAAUCGGGGCAGGGUGAGUCGACCCCUAAGGCGAGGCCGAAAGGCGUAGUCGAUGGGAAACGGGUUAAUAUUCCCGUACUUGGUGUUACUGCGAAGGGGGGACGGAGAAGGCUAUGUUGGCCGGGCGACGGUUGUCCCGGUUUAAGCGUGUAGGUGUGUGUUCCAGGUAAAUCCGGUUCACUUUAACACUGAGGCGUGACGACGAGGCACUACGGUGCUGAAGCAACAAAUGCCCUGCUUCCAGGAAAAGCCUCUAAGCAUCAGGUAACAUCAAAUCGUACCCCAAACCGACACAGGUGGUCAGGUAGAGAAUACCAAGGCGCUUGAGAGAACUCGGGUGAAGGAACUAGGCAAAAUGGUGCCGUAACUUCGGGAGAAGGCACGCUGACACGUAGGUGAAGUGAUUUACUCAUGGAGCUGAAGUCAGUCGAAGAUACCAGCUGGCUGCAACUGUUUAUUAAAAACACAGCACUGUGCAAACACGAAAGUGGACGUAUACGGUGUGACGCCUGCCCGGUGCCGGAAGGUUAAUUGAUGGGGUCAGCGCAAGCGAAGCUCCUGAUCGAAGCCCCGGUAAACGGCGGCCGUAACUAUAACGGUCCUAAGGUAGCGAAAUUCCUUGUCGGGUAAGUUCCGACCUGCACGAAUGGCGUAAUGAUGGCCAGGCUGUCUCCACCCGAGACUCAGUGAAAUUGAACUCGCUGUGAAGAUGCAGUGUACCCGCGGCAAGACGGAAAGACCCCGUGAACCUUUACUAUAGCUUGACACUGAACAUUGAGCCUUGAUGUGUAG
rnacentral:rRNA from 1 species